rnacentral:rRNA from 1 species
GAGUUUGAUCUUGGCUCAGGAUGAACGCUGGCGGCGUGCCUAAUACAUGCAAGUCGUACGAACAGCGGAAAGUGCUUGCACUUUCCAAGUAAGUGGCGAACGGGUGAGUAACACGUGAAUAACCUACCUCAAAGUCUGGGGAUAACCAUUGGAAACAGUGACUAAUACCGGAUAAAACCUAGUAGCACAUGCUACAAGGUUAAAAGCUGCGUUUGCAGCGCUUUAAGAUGGAUUCGCGAUGCAUUAGUUAGUUGGUGAGGUAAAGGCUCACCAAGACAAUGAUGCAUAGCCGAGUUGAGAGACUGACCGGCCACAGUUGGGACUGAGACACGGCCCAAACUCCGUACGGGAGGCUGCA